rnacentral:rRNA from 1 species
CAGUCGCCGCGGUAAUACAGAGGGUGCGAGCGUUAAUCGGAUUUACUGGGCGUAAAGCGUGCGUAGGCGGCUUUUUAAGUCGGAUGUGAAAUCCCUGAGCUUAACUUAGGAAUUGCAUUCGAUACUGGGAAGCUAGAGUAUGGGAGAGGAUGGUAGAAUUCCAGGUGUAGCGGUGAAAUGCGUAGAGAUCUGGAGGAAUACCGAUGGCGAAGGCAGCCAUCUGGCCUAAUACUGACGCUGAGGUACGAAAGCAUGGGGAGCAAACAGGAUUAGAUACCCCGGUAGUCCAUGUCUCUUAUAC